rnacentral:lncRNA from 13 species
CCAUGCCCCAGGACUACCUGACAUGAUGACUCCUUGCUGUCCCCAGUCCACCUGACCGUGCUGCUGCUCCAGUUUCAACUGUUCUGCCUUAUUAUUAUUCGACCAUGCUGGUCAUUUAUGAACAUUUGAACAUCUUGGCCAUGUUCUGUUAUAAUCUCCACCCGGCACAGCCAGAAGAGGACUGGCCACCCCACAUAGCCUGGUUCCUCUCUAGGUUUCUUCCUAGGUUUUGGCCUUUCUAGGAAGUUUUUCCUAGUCACCGUGCUUCUACACCUGCAUUGCUUGCUGUUUGGGGUUUUAGGCUUUGUUUCUGUACAGCACUUUGAGAUAUCAGCUGAUGUACGAAGGGCUAUAUAAAUACAUUUUUAUUUGAUUUGAUGUAUCUGCAUGGUGUCCUCAAAAUAAGGAAUAAACUUCAUAUACUUGAAAAUGAUUUCCCUCCAGCCUGUUCUCAUUAACCAAACCUGCCCAGAUGCAGGGUUGGAGGCCACUUUCUGUGUGGGAACAACCUCUGUGAGAAGGAGGAGGACCUGAAGAGCUGGGAGGUGAACUUUGCCCAUGUGGAGCAGGGAGAGAAGAGAAACACACGGGUCAAACUCAGAGAAAGGAGGUGAUCGCCAAGAAAAGAAGACAAGUCGUCUGAGGAAAAUCAAGUUGAGCCACAGGCAAAAAGAUCCAAGAAAGCAGAGACAAACAUCAGAGGAGACACAAAGGCAAGACUCCACCAUUUCAUAUCUUUGUACAACUAUGGCUAUAGGUAGACGCAAACAACAGGCCAUGGGGAUGAAAUGA